UACGUAGGGGGCAAGCGUUGUCCGGAUUUAUUGGGCGUAAAGAGCGUGUAGGCGGCCAUACAGGUCAGCUGUGAAAACUCGAGGCUCAACCUCGAGACGUCGGUUGAAACCGUAUGGCUAGAGUCCGGAAGAGGAGAGUGGAAUUCCUGGUGUAGCGGUGAAAUGCGCAGAUAUCAGGAAGAACACCCGUGGCGAAAGCGGCUCUCUGGAACGGUACUGACGCUGAGACGCGAAAGCGUGGGGAGCGAACAGG
rnacentral:rRNA from 1 species